AUACGUAGGGGGCAAGCGUUAUCCGGAUUUACUGGGUGUAAAGGGAGCGUAGACGGCAUGGCAAGUCUGAAGUGAAAACCCAGGGCUCAACCCUGGGACUGCUUUGGAAACUGUCAAGCUAGAGUGCAGGAGAGGUAAGUGGAAUUCCUAGUGUAGCGGUGAAAUGCGUAGAUAUUAGGAGGAACACCAGUGGCGAAGGCGGCUUACUGGACUGUAACUGACGUUGAGGCUCGAAAGCGUGGGGAGCAAACAGGAUUAGAUACCCUGGUAGUCCACGCCGUAAACGAUGAGUGCUAGGUGUUGGGGGGCAAAGCCCUUCGGUGCCGUCGCAAACGCAAUAAGCACUCCACCUGGGGAGUACGUUCGCAAGAAUGAA
rnacentral:rRNA from 1 species